GAGGGUAUAGCUUAAGUGGUAGAACACAUGCUUAGCAUGCAUGAGGUCCUGGGUUCAAUCCCCAGUGCCUCCA
rnacentral:tRNA from 1 species